GCAUUGGCAUGCCGGUUCUAAGUAUUCAAAGGGCAUCUCGAUCUAUCAUGAGUCAGCCUCUAGCAUUGGAAAC
rnacentral:sRNA from 1 species